GUGGGGAAUAUUGGACAAUGGGCGAAAGCCUGAUCUAGCCAUGCCGCGUGUGUGAAGAAGGUCUUCGGAUUGUAAAGCACUUUAAGUUGGGAGGAAGGGCAGUAAGUUAAUACCUUGCUGUUUUGACGUUACCGACAGAAUAAGCACCGGCUAACUUCGUGCCAGCAGCCGCGGUAAUACGAAGGGUGCAAGCGUUAAUCGGAAUUACUGGGCGUAAAGCGCGCGUAGGUGGUUUUGAAGUUGGAGGUGAAAUCCCCGGGCUCAACCUGGGAACUGCCUCCAAAACUGCAUGACUAGAGUACGGUAGAGGGUAGUGGAAUUUCCUGUGUAGCGGUGAAAUGCGUAGAUAUAGGAAGGAACACCAGUGGCGAAGGCGACUACCUGGACUGAUACUGACACUGAGGUGCGAAAGCGUGGGGAGCAAACAGGAUUAGAAACCCGUGUAGUCC
rnacentral:rRNA from 1 species